GGAGAGGUAGUCAAGUGGCCGAAGACGGCGGCUUGCUAAGCCGUUGUAGGGGUAAAACUCUACCGUGGGUUCAAAUCCCACCCUCUCCG
rnacentral:tRNA from 1 species